UGAGCCUACGGGGCGCAGCAGUGAGGAAUAUUGGUCAAUGGGCGGGAGCCUGAACCAGCCAAGUCGCGUGAGGGAAGACGGUCCUAUGGAUUGUAAACCUCUUUAGGCGGGGAGCAAUGCCGGGCACGCGUGCCCGGAGGGAGAGUACCCGCAGAAUAAGCAUCGGCUAACUCCGUGCCAGCAGCCGCGGUAAUACGGAGGAUGCGAGCGUUAUCCGGAUUUAUUGGGUUUAAAGGGUGCGUAGGCGGUCCGGAAAGUCAGCGGUAAAAGCCCGGGGCUCAACCCCGGCGAGCCGUUGAAACUGG
rnacentral:rRNA from 1 species